GGACGUCGAAGGUGGGGCUGAUGACUGGGGUGAAGUCGUAACAAGGUAUCCGUACCGGAAGGUGCGGAUGGAUCACCUCCUAACAGGGAGACAAAACAAUGAUUUUGAUGUCUGAGUAUUUCAUUCUUAGGCCGAAAUCCUGUCACCUUAGGUCGAUCGGUACCUCAACAUUUUUCCAAAGAUUGGUGAGCAAUCAUCAAGAGAUUGGAAGGGAUGUUCAGUUCCUAAACUUUGUCUAGGUCACACCCCGCAAGGGAAGAGUCCCCUGGGCCAUUAGCUCAGGUGGUUAGAGCGCACCCCUGAUAAGGGUGAGGUCCCUGGUUCAAGUCCAGGAUGGCCCAUUCGGUGUUGGGGGUUUAGCUCAGUUGGUAGAGCGCCUGCUUUGCAAGCAGGAUGUCAGGAGUUCGAGUCUCCUAACCUCCACUGACAGAACUCAAUCUCCAUUGUCCGGUAACUCGGAGGAUGAACUCGAUGGCGUGUGAUUUAGAUGUGUCCACUAGAUAGGACCCUAGCUUCCUGUCAUUCCGAACAAGUAAUUAUUGCUUGAUUGGCUGAUAUGAUGCUGGGCUCAGAUUAAUCGAAAGAUUAAUUUGAUCUCUAGUAGAACCUUGACAACUGCAUAAGUAAGUCUGGAAAAACGAAGCAUCUUACAGAUGCAUUGUUUUAAGUCUGAAUUCUCGAAAGAGAGUUUAGAUCUAGAAUGAUGAAAAUUCUUUUAAGCAAGAGCCGAGACUCUUAGAUGUUCUUUUUAUCGUGUCGAGCGAUAAAGAGUUUGAUUUUGUUUUUAUGAGCAGCGAAAGUUGCUGAUAAAACCAGAAGAAUCUGCUUUCAACCGCAGUAAGCGUUUAAGAGGUUAAUUGGUCAAGCUACAAAGGGCUC
rnacentral:misc_RNA from 1 species